UGAAUACUUGUAAAUAUAAAUGACAUAUUUCUGUAUUUAAUUUUCAAUACAUAUACAAACAUUUCUAAAAAUAUGUUUUCACUUUAUCAAUAUGGGGUAUUGUGUGUAGAUGGGUGAGAAUAAAAUCUAUUGAAUGCAUUAUGAAUUCAGGCUAUAACAACAAAAUGUGGAAGGGUAUAUCUGAAGACAUUGUAUAUCCGACAGAAAACACCUUCACAAGUCGACCCUGGGUGUCUGCGGAGGUGUUGACGGGGGAUUGGCUGCGGAGUAACAGAGGCUGCAACCAAUUAGCAUACAGAGUAGUGAUGUAGCCUCGAAUGCCCUCUGGUUAACAGAGGAUAGCAUGAACACACCACACUUUCUCUAUUCUCUCUCAAGCUCUUCCUUUUCCUCCGCAGGUUCAGACAGUCUAAAGGCCUUGUGAUCCGACUGAGCUCCGGCUUUGUGGGAUACUCUAGGACUCCAGCAUUAAGAUAACGAGACAGUCACGAGUGGUUUACCAGAUGGCUUCCAUGGAGUUUCUCAACCUCCACCAAAUAGGGAAUUGCCAUUGACAGCAAGUAAACAACCUGAACACCAACUGCCGCCAACGUAAACAUCUUAAGGUAGCAUGUGUCUCUGCUACAUUCAAAACCACGGCUGCAGUUGUCAGGUAAAAACAACAUCCUCCUUACACUACCUUUCAAAUGCUUUCACAACUGAGUCGACUGUUACAAUCUCGAUCCCAAAAUGUUGAAUUAACGUUGAAUGAAUGUAUUCUCACUGUAUACAUAUUAUCCAUAUAGGCUGGGUUAAAGGUCAUGAAGCAUCCAGUGACUGGUGGAAAUGAAGACCACACAGCUUGAAGAGAUCAGGUUGAAGAGGGAGGACAUAUUUAACUUGUGGGUCAUAGGUCAAACUCUCUCCCUCUACCUUUCCAUCUCCCCCGCUCUCUUUCACUCUCACCUUUCUCCUUCCCUCUUUCUUCCCCUCUACCCCGCUCUUUCUAUCACCCCACCUCUCUCUUUCUUCACCUACAUGUAUACUCCUGUCUUUUCCUCUUCUGAACCCCCCCCCUCUUCUCCUUCAUUCUCACCCUCUCUCUCAGCCUGGCUGUUAUUUCUCCAUAUGUUUUGACUAUGUGCUGGUCUGUGCUGUGGGCCUGAGGCAGGUCUCUGGCAGGCAGCAGUGUCAAGUUGGAGGGAGGCUUGGUGGUCUGUGUGUGACAUGGAGAAGGGCCCACCGGCACCGCAGCAGCCCCGCUGAGGCCAGGUCUACAGCUGUCCCACUCUGCCAGGGCCUCUGCUUACAGUCACUGUGAGUUACGACCGUUGCUCCUUACUCACACACACACACACACGCUGACAGGCACACACACAGGAGGUGAAUGCCCCCCCCACUAGCAGCCACACACACCGCAGACACACACGCUGAGGCAAGAUAUAUUCCUAGCAGGAGCUUAAGCCCUAUCUGAAAAAGCCCAUUCCCACUGGGCUUGUUAAAGACAGGCCAUGUAGAAAGAGUACAUUUAAAGCCCACACAUCAAAUACAGGGGAAAUGUGAUGUGUAGUUGAUAGCUCUCUGUGCAUUCACACCCACAAACCGUGCCAGAGGGCACACACACACACACACACACACACACACACACACA